UGCUGACGACCGGCGCACGGGUGCGGAACGCGUAUGGAACCUGCCCCUGUCAGGGGAAUAGCCCAGAGAAAUUUGGAUUAAUGCCCCAUGGUAUCGAAUCACCGCAUGGUGAUUUGAUUAAAGAUUUAUCGGACAGGGAUGGCCAUGCGUACCAUUAGCUUGUUGGUGAGGUAACGGCUUACCAAGGCAACGAUGGUUAGGGGCCCUGAGAGGGGGAUCCCCCACACUGGUACUGAGACACGGACCAGACUCCUACGGGAGGCAGCAGUGAGGAAUAUUGGACAAUGGCCGAAAGGUUGAUCCAGCCAUGCCGCGUGCAGGAUGACGGCCCUAUGGGUUGUAAACUGCUUUUACACGGGAAGAAACCUCCCCUCGUGAGGGGAGCUGACGGUACCGUGAGAAUAAGGACCGGCUAACUCCGUGCCAGCAGCCGCGGUAAUACGGAGGGUCCGAGCGUUAUCCGGAAUCAUUGGGUUUAAAGGGUCCGUAGGCGGGCCUAUAAGUCAGGGGUGAAAGGCCACGGCUCAACCGUGGGACUGCCCUUGAUACUGUAGGUCUUGAGUUAUAGUGGGGUUGCCGGAACAUGUGGUGUAGCGGUGAAAUGCAUAGAUAUCACAUAGAACACCGAUCGCGAAGGCAGGUGACCAACUAUAUACUGACGCUGAUGGACGAAAGCGUGGGUAGCGAACGGGAUUAGAUACCCCGGUAGUCCACGCCGUAAACGAUGGAUACUAGCUGUCGGGACCUCGGUCUCGGCGGCCAAGCGAAAGUGAUAAGUAUCCCACCUGGGGAGUACGUUCGCAAGAAUGAAACUCAAAGGAAUUGACGGGGGCCCGCACAAGCGGUGGAGCAUGUGGUUUAAUUCGAUGAUACGCGAGGAACCUUACCAGGGCUUAAAUGCGGGCUGCAUGGGA
rnacentral:rRNA from 1 species